rnacentral:rRNA from 1 species
CGAAAGGCGUGGGGAGCAAACAGGAUUAGAUACACUGGUAGUCCACGCCGUAAACGAUGUCGAUUUGGAGGCUGUGUCCUUGAGACGUGGCUUCCGGAGCUAACGCGUUAAAUCGACCGCCUGGGGAGUACGGCCGCAAGGUUAAAACUCAAAAUGAAUUGACGGGGGCCCCGCACAAGCGGUGGAGCAUGUGGUUUAAUUCGAUGCAACGCGAAGAACCUUACCUACUCUUGACAUCCACGGAAUUUAGCAGAGAUGCUUUAGUGCCUUCGGGAACCGUGAGACAGGUGCUGCAUGGCUGUCGUCAGCUCGUGUUGUGAAAUGUUGGGUUAAGUCCCGCAACGAGCGCAACCCUUAUCCUUUGUUGCCAGCGGUUCGGCCGGGAACUCAAAGGAGACUGCCAGUGAUAAACUGGAGGAAGGUGGGGAUGACGUCAAGUCAUCAUGGCCCUUACGAGUAGGGCUACACACGUGCUACAAUGGCAUAUACAAAGAGAAGCGACCUCGCGAGAGCAAGCGGACCUCAUAAAGUAUGUCGUAGUCCGGAUUGGAGUCUGCAACUCGACUCCAUGAAGUCGGAAUCGCUAGUAAUCGUAGAUCAGAAUGCUACGGUGAAUACGUUCCCGGGCCUUGUACACACCGCCCGUCACACCAUGGGAGUGGGUUGCAAAAGAAGUAGGUAGCUUAACCUUCGGGAGGGCGCUUACCACUUUGUGAUUCAUGACUGGGGUGAAGUCGUAACAAGGUAACC